CGGCCAUAUAGCAUUGAAACUCCAGUUCCCCGAACGAUCACCGAAGGUAAGCAACAUUGAGCCUGGUCGGUAUCAAGAUGAGUGACCGCUUGGAAAUACCAGCUGAUGCAAG